rnacentral:rRNA from 1 species
UACAGAGGGUGCGAGCGUUGUCCGGAAUCACUGGGCGUAAAGGGCGCGUAGGUGGCGACCCAAGUCCAUGGUGAAAGCUCGAUGCUCAACAUCGAGUCGGCCACGGAUACUGGGUUGCUGGAGCACUGUAGAGGCAGAUGGAAUUCCGGGUGUAGCGGUGAAAUGCGCAGAUAUCAGGAGGAACACCGGUGGCGAAGGCGGGUCUCUGGGCCGAUACUGACGCUGAGGAGCGAAAGCGUGGGGAGCGAACAGG